CCUACGGGAGGCAGCAGUGAGGAAUAUUGGUCAAUGGUCGGGAGACUGAACCAGCCAAGCCGCGUGAGGGAGGAAGGUACAGAGUAUCGUAAACCUCUUUUGUCAGGGAACAAAGACUGGGACGCGUCCCCGGAUGAGUGUACCUGAAGAAAAAGCAUCGGCUAACUCCGUGCCAACAGCCGCGGUAAUACGGAGGAUGCGUGCGUUAUCCGGAUUUAUGGGGUUUAAAGGGUGCGUAGGCGGAAUGUUAAGUCAGCGGUCAAAAUUCGGGGCUCAACCCCGUCGUGCCGUUGAAACUGGUGGUCUUGAGUGGGCGAGAAGUAUGCGGAAUGCGUGGUGUAGCGGUGAAAUGCAUAGAUAUCACGCAGAACUCCGAUUGCGAAGGCAGCAUACCGGCGCCCAACUGACGCUGAGGCACGAAAGCGUGGGUAUCGAACAGGAUUAGAUACCCCAGUAGUC
rnacentral:rRNA from 1 species